rnacentral:rRNA from 1 species
CGUAGGUGGCAAGCGUUGUCCGGAUUUAUUGGGUUUAAAGGGUGCGUAGGCGGUUCCAUAAGUCAGUGGUGAAAUACAAUAGCUUAACUAUUGAGGUGCCAUUGAUACUGCGGAACUUGAGUACAGACGAGGUAGGCGGAAUUGACGGUGUAGCGGUGAAAUGCUUAGAUAUCGUCAAGAACACCGAUAGCGAAGGCAGCUUACUAGACUGUAACUGACGCUGAGGCACGAAAGUGUGGGGAUCAAACAGGAUUAGAUACCCGUGGUAGUCCACACUGCAAACGAUGAUUACUCGAUGUUGGCGAUACACAGCCAGCGUCUUAGCAAAAGCGAUAAGUAAUCCACCUGGGGAGUACGCCGGCAACGGUG